CUGUAUAACUAGCCGUGGGAAUAAGAGGGGGGCAAGACUGGUGUCAGCCGCCGCGGUAACACCAGCCCCUCGAGUGGUGGGGAUGAUUAUUUGGCCUAAAGCGUCCGUAGCUGGCCCUGUAAAUCUCUCGUUAAAUCCAACGUCCUAAGCGUUGGGCUGCGAGGGUAACUGCAGAGCUAGAGGGUGGGAGAGGUCAGCGGUAUUCCUGGGGUAGGGGCGAAAUCCAUUGAUCCCAGGAGGACCACCAGUGGCGAAGGCUGCUGACUUGAACACGCCUGACGGUGAGGGACGAAAGCUGGGGUAGCGAAUCGGAUUAGAUACCCGAGUAGUCCCAGCUGUAAACGAUGCAGGCUAGGUGUUGAGCUGGCCAUGUGCUGGCUCAGUGCCACAGGGAAGCCAUUAAGCCUGCCGCCUGGGGAGUACGGCCGCAAGGCUGAAACUUAAAGGAAUUGGCGGGGGAGCACCACCAGGCGUGAAGCCUGCGGUUUAAUUGGAGUCAACGCCGGGAAUCUUACCGGGAGCGACAGCAGAAUGAAGGCCAGGUUGAAGGUCUUGCUGGACGAGCUGAGAGGUGGUGCAUGGCCGUCGCCAGUUCGUGCCGUGAGGUGUCCUCUUAAGUGAGGUAACGAACGAGACCCGUGCCCCAUGUUGCUAACAGUAUCUAAAGGAUAGCUGAGCACUCGUAGGGGACCGCAGCCGACAAGGCUGAGGAAGGUGCGGGCCACGGCAGGUCAGUAUGCCCCGAAUCUCCCGGGCCACACGCGGGCUGCAAUGGUAGUGAC
rnacentral:rRNA from 1 species